rnacentral:rRNA from 1 species
GAUGAACGCUGGCGGCGUGCCUAAUACAUGCAAGUCGAGCGAACAGACGAGGAGCUUGCUCCUCUGACGUUAGCGGCGGACGGGUGAGUAACACGUGGAUAACCUACCUAUAAGACUGGGAUAACUUCGGGAAACCGGAGCUAAUACCGGAUAAUAUAUUGAACCGCAUGGUUCAAUAGUGAAAGACGGUUUUGCUGUCACUUAUAGAUGGAUCCGCGCCGCAUUAGCUAGUUGGUAAGGUAACGGCUUACCAAGGCAACGAUGCGUAGCCGACCUGAGAGGGUGAUCGGCCACACUGGAACUGAGACACGGUCCAGACUCCUAAGGGAGGCAGCAGUAGGCAAUCUUCCGCAAUGGGCGAAAGCCUGACGGAGCAACGCCGCGUGAGUGAUGAAGGUCUUCGGAUCGUAAAACUCUGUUAUUAGGGAAGAACAAAUGUGUAAGUAACUAUGCACGUCUUGACGGUACCUAAUCAGAAAGCCACGGCUAACUACGUG